GUCGCGGGACUGAAGCGAGGUAAGCGCCGGCUGCGCCGGAGGAGCGGGUCUGAGCUGGAGGGGCUACAGAAGGGCCACAGAGGAGCCACUUCGAAGGAGGAACCCUGGCAUCCAAGGCCACCAUGAGCUGCCAUUCAGCGGGGUUCCAGGGAGGAAGUGUGCCCCCGCCUGCUCCCAGUGUUCUCAGCAUUUCUCCUCUUCAGUCGCCAAACCCAAAAUGACCACUGAGGAUUUGUUUUUUGCUCCAACACUGGGGCCUGAACUCACCUCCUCAGCCCCUGAGACUCACCCAGAACCUCAUCAGGAGACCAGCUAACAGAACGAUGAGAACAGUUGGAGGAUCUUCUAAAGCCUUUCUCUUGCCUCAUAGUUUAUUUCCUUGCAGAAUCCAGCCCCUCAGAUGCAGCUGAUGUCUUAGCCACCACACACAGCAACCUUUUUUGUCUUCACAGUUGUCUCUGAAGCAGCUUCCAACUAAAUAAAAGCAGCUUUGUAAAGGACACAUCAUUGAGGCUCUCGUGACCUGUGCCAGCAGUUGUGAAGGCACCCCUGGUUUCAAGGAGAGGAGAAAUAGACUCUGCCUC
rnacentral:lncRNA from 1 species